rnacentral:rRNA from 1 species
AAGCCAUCUGGUCGAGGGCACGUCUGCCUGGGUGUCACGCA